GACGUAGGGCGCGAGCGUUGUCCGGAUUUAUUGGGCGUAAAGCGCACGCAGGCGGUCUGCUAAGUUUGGAGUGACAGUUGGUGGCUUAACUGCCAAAGUGCUUCGAAAACUGACAGACUUGAGGGCUUCAGAGGGACACGGAAUUCCGGGUGGAGUGGUGAAAUGCGUAGAGAUCCGGAGGAACACCAAAGGCGAAGGCAGUGUCCUGGGGAGUACCUGACGCUCAGGUGCGAAAGCCAGGGGAGCGAACGGG
rnacentral:rRNA from 1 species